GACGAACGCCGGCGGCGUGCUUAACACAUGCAAGUCGAACGAAGAGCGAUGGAAGCUUGCUUCUAUCAAUCUUAGUGGCGAACGGGUGAGUAACGCGUAAUCAUCCUGCCCUUCAGAGGGGGACAACAGUUGGAAACGACUGCUAAUACCGCAUACGAUCUAACCUCGGCAUCGAGGAUAGAUGAAAGGUGGCCUCUAUUUAUAAGCUAUCACUGAAGGAGGGGAUUGCGUCUGAUUAGCUAGUUGGAGGGGUAACGGCCCACCAAGGCGAUGAUCAGUAGCCGGUCUGAGAGGAUGAACGGCCACAUUGGGACUGAGACACGGCCCAGACUCCUACGGGAGGCAGCAGUGGGGAAUUUUCCGCAAGGACGAAAGUUUGACGGAGCAACGCCGCCUGAGUGA
rnacentral:rRNA from 1 species